UUAAUUUUAUUUUUGAAUACCCAUUUGUUUUCAUUGGGCUCCCUAAAAUUAAAGAAAUCAUUUCUGUCAAUUGUUUAACAUGAAAUAAUUUUGAAGGCUUGAUGAAUCUUUAUGUUGGACUUCUGGUAAGAUAAGCUCAAAGUUCGUUUAUGGCAUCUACAUGUAUCAAAUAUAUUCAUGCACUGGGUAAUGGUGUUAAGUUGGAACAGCG
rnacentral:lncRNA from 1 species